GGGCCCGCACAAGCGGUGGAGCAUGUGGUUUAAUUCGAUGAUACGCGAGGAACCUUACCAGGGCUUAAAUGUAGUAUGACCGGCUUGGAAACAGGCCUUCUCUUCGGACUCAUUACAAGGUGCUGCAUGGUUGUCGUCAGCUCGUGCCGUGAGGUGUCAGGUUAAGUCCUAUAACGAGCGCAACCCCUAUCGUUAGUUGCCAGCGAGUAAUGUCGGGAACUCUAACAAGACUGCCGGUGCAAACCGUGAGGAAGGUGGGGAUGACGUCAAAUCAUCACGGCCCUUACGUCCUGGCCUACACACGUGCUACAAUGGCCGGUACAGAGAGCAGCCACUACGCGAGUAGGCGCG
rnacentral:rRNA from 1 species